GUGGGGAAUAUUGGACAAUGGGCGAAAGCCUGAUCCAACCAUGCCGCGUGUGUGAAGAAGGUCUUCGGAUUGUAAAGCACUUUAAGUUGGGAGGAAGGGUAGUAACCUAAUACGUUGCUACUUUGACGUUACCGACAGAAUAAGCACCGGCUAACUUCGUGCCAGCAGCCGCGGUAAUACGAAGGGUGCAAGCGUUAAUCGGAAUUACUGGGCGUAAAGCGCGCGUAGGUGGUUUUGUAAGUUGGGGGUGAAAUCCCCGGGCUCAACCUGGGAACUGCCUCCAAAACUGCAUGACUAGAGUACGGUAGAGGGUAGUGGAAAUUCCUGUGUAGCGGUGAAAUGCGUAGAUAUAGGAAGGAACACCAGUGGCGAAGGCGACUACCUGGACUGAUACUGACACUGAGGUGCGAAAGCGUGGGGAGCAAACAGGAUUAGAAACCCUGGUAGUCC
rnacentral:rRNA from 1 species